rnacentral:rRNA from 1 species
ACGCUCGACACCUACGGGAGACAGCAGUGGGGAAUAUUGCACAAUGGGGGAAACCCUGAUGCAGCGACGCCGCGUGGAGGAAGAAGGUCUUCGGAUUGUAAACUCCUGUUGUUGGGGAAAAAGAGGAUGGUACCCAACAAGGAAGUGACGGCUAACUACGUGCUAGCAGCCGCGGUAAUCUGAGCGGGCUGGCAAGGC